UUUGUACUCCCUCCGUUCGGAAUUACUUGUCUCGGAAAUGGAUGUAUCUGGAACUAAAAUAUGUCUAGAUACAUCCAUUUCUGCGACAAGUAAUUCUGAAUGGAGAGAGUACUAA
rfam:Triticum aestivum genome assembly, contig: Triticum_aestivum_CS42_TGACv1_scaffold_161597_2DL